AACCAGAGCAGCUGCACUCUAUGCGGCUUGAGGCCUCUUCGCAGUCCCACUUAAGGUUAAUGCUAGGCUGCUACUGAACUUAACUCACAUCUUCUCCUGCUUGUUUCUUUGGGACUGCUUCACUGAACUGGAUUUACUUUAUGCCCCUGAAUAGACAAUUUGGACUGGUUUAGGGAAUUUGACCUCUGGCAUGUCACCACCACAGUCAUAAUUGGUUAUGGGACUCAUUCCUGAAGAGUGUAGGAUCCAGCUUUGUUCCUGACAAUAUGUGGUGGUGCAGUAAGGACUGGAAGGAACUCUGAAUGUGAAGAAGGCAUGUUGCUUCCAGCUGGGCAGUUAAAUCUAAUACAUUAUGAGUAAUCCUAAAUAUCAUCCCUGAAAAUAUUUGAAAAUAGGAGUGCCAUGCUGGCAGUGGUGAGGCCCAUUUCACAGAUGAGUCCUUCCUAUAAGUUGCUAGUUUCUUCAUACCUCAAAGAACGCCACUGCAUGCAAAAAUACAGCAGAGGUGUGGCUGAGCUGCAAUUUUACGCUUCAGAGGAAGCUUGAAAGAAUUGGCCUGCGGUGACAAGGUUACAACAGGUAAGGGAGAUUUGAUUGUUAUCACCAGCAGUACCAUUUUUGGCACAGGGAGAAAGGGGUACCAAGAGAUUCCAGAAACAUGGAGUGAGGAGCUGACAGACACGGCAGGUUCAAAAUAAAUUUAAAAAACCAGAAUAUUUUGGGAACAUUUACUGUGGUUAGCUUUUAGUACCUCAUGAUAACUAGGGAUGCAGGUCCUGCCAAGGAAUAAACACGUAUGGUCUAAACAGACAGGCAAUGAUACUUUCUCUCCUCUCCUACAUAGUGUUCCUAGAGGCAGGGCUGCUCAUGACAUCUUACUGAGGUACAGGACAAGAUGGGGCCUCCUCACAUUCUGUGUAGUAAAGCUUACUGGACUAGCAGUUGAAUCUUACUUCAACUUCAAUCUAACAUGUAGUGUUUUAAAAACUGUUUCAUGGUAUGUUUGUAAAUUGCCUUGAGCAGUAAGUAAAAUGUGAGUGAAUGAUUAAUUAAUUGAUUGAUAAUACCCUUCUGCCCUCUAACAGAGGGUGAUGGUGGGGGGCUCUUGAGCAAUAUCUGGGGGGCUGCCACUGCUAACGGAGGUAGGGCAGGCCUGUGCUUUGGUCAGAAUGAGAUCUGUGUAUAGCAGCAGGCAAAGUAAGUCAUUUCAUCAAAAGGCUAAAGGUCAAUCUUUUGAACCCGUGUCAACAUGCAGGGGCUGAUUUUUGCCAGCUUUGUCAAAGGAUUGUGUGAAAUGGAUCUUGAUGUGGCUGGUAGGUGUGUGCUGAACUGAGGCUGGAUUGGUUUUUUGGAACUGAUUACAGCUGCUCCUAUGAGCUGCAAUCACCCUUGCUUGCAAAUAAUAGACCCUCUUGGCUAAGCUCCGGUUGUGCGUGCCUUCCAGCAGUGGUAGUCACACUGCUUCAUCUCUGUCUGCUGUAACAUAAUUCACUGCAUUCAUUCACUCUGCAACUGUUUUCUCUGAAGCAGUAGCCACAUUUGGAUGCUCUGCUUGUGCAUGAAACCUACAGAUGGUCCACAAGAGGUCUGGAGGGUGACAACGUGAGAACAGCCCUUUUCUGUGUUGGUUUCCCAUUUGUGAAAUGCUGGUGCCAUCAUUUUACACCAUUAGCCACCAGGCAAAAACGUUCCUCUUCAACCGGUCUGUGGCUGAUUAUAAUCUAAUAGCCUUUUAAAUGUGUUAUGGGGGGAUUAUUGGUUCGUUUUUGCUCUUGUUUUUAAUAUGUAUUUUGUGUUUUUAUUUUGAAUUUUUAUUCUGAUAAUCACCCUGAGCUCCUUGGUUGAAGGGUGGUAUACAAAUUUAAUAAAUAAAAUAAAAUGAAAUAAUUGAACAUACAGGUUGUGGAGCAGCUGAAGGCACAUCUGGAUUGUCUGCAGUAGUAGAGUUCUGACCUCAAAAAUGUUCACUUGGUGCCACUUUUGUGAACUCAAUCCUGCCCUGUUCACUUGCACUUUUUAAUGGCACAUCCUACUCUUUUGUUUUUGUUUUACUGGAUUUGAUGUUUGAUUAUUAUUUUUUUAGCAAUACUGUGUUUUACUGUUCUACUUUAGCUGUGCUGUUGCCUGUGGCUUUAUUUUAUUAAGUGAUUUUUUAGGUUAAAUUAAUCUGUAAAUAGCCUUAAGGGCUCCUUAAGUGCAAACAUGUAAAUAAAUACCGUAUUUUUCGCUCUAUAAGACGCACCAGACCACAAGACGCACCUAGUUUUUGGAGGAGGAAAACAAGAAAAAAAAUAUUCUGAAUCUCAGAAGCCAGAACAGCAAGAGGGAUUGCUGCGCAGUGAAAGCAGCAAUCCCUCUUGCUGUUCUGGCUUCUGGGAUAGCUGCGCAGCCUACAUUCGCUCCAUAAGAUGCACAUACAUUUCCCCUUACUUUUUAGGAGGGGAAAAGUGAGUCUUAUAGAGCAAAAAAUACGGUAUAUUGGUUCUUAGCUGAGCUCAUUUCAGUUGAGCUUCUGACUUCGCUAUGGAAUUCAGAUGUCUCUAACACGGAAUGAAGAGCCUUUGUAGCUCUCUAGAUGUUAUUGAACUCCAACUUGCAUUAGUCCCAGACAGCAUGGUCAUAGGUCAGGAAUGAUGGAGCAACAUCUGGAGGACCACAGGUUCUCCAUUCCCACUGUAGUAGCUUUAUAAUGCAAUCCUGUACAUGUCUACUCAGCAGUAAGUCCCACUAAGCUCAGUGAGGCUUAUACUUGGGUAUGUAGGCAUAAGAUUUCAAAUUUAGUUUCUUGCCCCUAGGUGGGCCUUUGUUCUAGCAACUCAGAUCAUAUGUCCGCCUGAAAAUAAGGAAUUAUAUUUGUUGAGGGUAGAAUCCAGAUUUUCCUCUUGCUCCCCACCAAUAAUGUCUUAAAACUGUCCUCUGUAGGUUUUAUUCUAGUUCUAUCUUGCACAUUCGCAAAUAUACCAGGGGUUCUCACUGGGAGAUUGAAGUGAAUCCUUCCCCUCUUUUCUUUAUCCAGAACGUGAGAAAAAAUAGCUAUUUCUAAUCUAUUCUAUUACAUAAAAUGGGCUUAGACAGACCUGGGCAUUGUUGUCAACACACCAUAAGCAAAAAGGUGUGUCAUUGAAGGAAGUUUAAUAAAGAUCAAUGGAAUUAAACAUCAUUCAAGGAGAUUGCAUGUACUUCCAGUAGUGCAAAAAUGUUCCUGCAGUGGAGAUGACAGUUUCCAUUUCCUGUGGCAGGAAAGUGGAAACAUUUGAACACAUAACUUGGGGUUGGCCAAGAAAACUCCCCAUUGGUUCAUUACAACAUCCAGCAUAUUGCAAUAAGUGAAAUCACAUUCUCCAUAUAAAUCUAUUAUGUCAUGCAGAGUGAAGAGGGCCCAAGGCUUUCCCACAUGACGCAUUACAAUAAUUACUCAUUUGUUUGAUUGGAUUGGAGUCAGUUGUCUUCCUGCAAGGAAGCACUUUUAUUUCAGGGAAAUUUAAUCCACUGUGCCGAAUUCACAAUAUAUAUGGUUGUGCAGAAAUGUCCCUCCAAAACCUGAUGACAUUCUUCGCAGGAUGUGAAACUGAGGUGGUGGACUGAAGCUCAUCAGUGGUGGCGAUGUUCCUGGGGCAAUUGUUUUCCUUUUCUUUAAGUGCAAGAUGCCAGCAUGGAGGCAGGAAGUAUUUCUUAUUCCUUUUUUAAAAUUUAAUUGGCUUUGUGGUGUCAAUCAUUAAGCUAAAUCAGAGUGAGGGCAAUACUUCCUGUCAUCACUCUGGCAUCUUGUGGGUGAAAGAAAAAUGUACCUAGCAGCAGUAGGGAGUGUAAUCUCUCCAGUGUCAGGUAAAUGAAGAGGAUGGGGAAGUGAAAGAUGUGAAGAAGGUUAGCGAGUUCAUGAAACCACCUAUCUCCAAUUUCUCCUUUGAGCUAAAAAAAUAAAUAAAAUAGGAGGCAUUCCUUCAGAUAUCGUCGUGGUCCCUGGUCAGUUAGGUCAAGAUCACCACCACUGUGAACUGGCUCGUGAAGCAAACUGGAAGGUGAAAUUUGCAAAAUACAGGUGCUAUAUGUUCCUUGCAGUUCCACUUAAAACUCUCAACAUGGCGUUUUGUACAAUCUGAAGCUCCUGAAUACUUCUUAAAGCAGCCCCAUACAGCAAUCUAACCUGGAUGUUCUAAAAGCAUGGAUGACAGUGAUCAGAUCAGCUCUUGUAAAAAAAAGGGAAAAAAAGAAAAGAAAGGAUACAAGUGGUUAACCCCCUAAGCUGAUAAAGGGCACUCUUGACCACCUCUGUGACCUGAGCCUCCAGAAGUAGUCCAAAACUGUGAGCCUGUGCUUUUGGGGGAAAAUGCAACCUCUUUAAAGGCAAGUUAAACCCCUAAGCCUGGAUCAAUUCCAUCACCAGCCAGCAGUACUUGUCUGGGGUGUGUGUUUGUGUUUUACGUGAAUAGAUGUGGCACCCAGCUAUAGAAAAUGCUUUCUCUUGGCAAGAGGCAAGCACUAAUAUUGACUCAUUUCUGGCACAGCUGAAAANNNNNNNNNNNNNNNNNNNNNNNNNNNNNNNNNNNNNNNNNNNNNNNNNNNNNNNNNNNNNNNNNNNNNNNNNNNNNNNNNNNNNNNNNNNNNNNNNNNNAAAUCAAAUAUCUUUAAUACGGUCAAUGACCAGGAAGCAAUUUAUAAAAUAUGACAUUAAGAGUAGUAUUGUGCUACAAGUAACAGUAAAAAUAUGGCCAAUUCACAGAAUUGGUGCUUAUAUUUAUGACCAGGUUUCGAGUUUUAAGUUUUUAAAAUUCAAUUCAGGAGUCGCUACUGUUUAUUAUCGUUCCUUCGAUGUUUACAGUUUGAACUCCUUUGUAGACAUCAUUGCUCGUCUUAUUCUUGUUGCAAUGUAACAGUACUUUGCCACGGACCUGUUAAUUUCGGGCUCUUUGUCAGCUAAGAGGUGUCUGAUAUAGGUGUCGUCUGUACUACGAGGUAUUUUCCUCAGAAUCGGUUCGAUCAGCUCUUUUCUUGAGUCUCGAUAUAAUGGGCAGUAUAAGAUGACAUGCCCAAUGGUUUCGAUUUCAUUGCUGUUACAGGGACAUAAUCUUUGUUCGAUCGGUAUUUUAUUGUAUCUUCCCUCUAGAAGAGCUGAAGGGAGAGCGUUAAAGCGGGCCCUGGAAAAUGCCCAUCGGUGUUUAGCGUUGUCUAGAACUUUGAGAUAGUUUGCUAGAUGGGGCCUUUGGGAAUUGUAUAGAAGUUUAUAAGUUAUCGGAAGUUGGUUAAAGUCAUUUUGGGUUUCAAUGUCCCUGAGUCUUUCUUUGAUUAUGUUCUUGGCCCUUCCCCUUUCUAAACUUAAUAAAUACUCUGGGGAGAGACCAUAUGUGGCCAGUUUUCUGAGAAUGCCCUUCAACCAGCUAGAUUGGAAUUUGUCAAGAAGCAUCAGGGAAAGUAGUCCAACCGGCGAGUUGUUAAGUCUUAGCCAAGUGCAUAAGGUUCUUAUCCAUACUUUGGCUUUAAUGCUGUAUAAGCCCGCUUCCAGUCGUAGGGCGGCGUUUGGGACGCAUUUAGGUGUUUGCAGGAGUGAUCUAAGGAAACCUGAUUGUAUCUUCUCAUAUGGGUCUAGAUUAGAGAGGGAGACGAGUGGUGCGCCGUAUAGGAUUUGUGCUGUUGGUUUUGCAACGAAUAGUUUAAUUGUAGCAGGAAUGAAAUUUCCUCCCGUUGUACGAUGGAAUCUUAGGAUUGCUGUUGUACUUUUUUGUGCUGUAAAGGAGCUGUAGUUUAUGUGGGCAGUCUUCUUCCUUGAUGCUUGGAAUAUCACUCCUAGAUAUUUAAAGCAUGUCACUUGUUCAAUCUCCUGAUUGUCUAAAUUCCAUCUGUAUAUUUUCCUUUUGUUAGAGAAAACCAUGAUUUUUGUUUUUGGUAGUUCACUGCUAGUUUCUCUUCUCUACAAUAUUGGGAUAAGCUGUUAAGAGCUCUUUUGAGGCCCAUCUGAGUCUGGGACAAUAUAACCGCAUCGUCUGCAUAGAGUAGGAUAGGCAGUUUUUGUCUGCUAAUUUUGGGGCGUGUGUAUCCGCUCCUUGUAGGUGGUCUAUUAGGGAGUUUAUAUAGAUGUUGAACAAAAAGGGGGCCAAAAUGCAUCCUUGUUUAACUCCCUUUGUUGUUCUAAUGAAAUUAGAGAGUUGACCUUCUUGGCUGCAUCUUAUACGAAGUCGUGUGUUGUUGUACAGUUUGUAUAUUAGUAGCAGCAGACGUCGGUCUAUGGAUGAUUUGUUGAGUUUGUCCCAGAGUCGAGUUCUUGGGAUGGAGUCAAAGGCUGCUUUAAAAUCUACAAAUGCUGCGAAUAGGUGGUGAUUGUGGUGCGACGUGUAUUUCUCAGCUAGGUGCUGUAAGAUCAGGCAGUGAUCCAUUGUGGAUCUCCCUUGUCUAAAUCCUGCCUGUGCAUCAUCAAGAAUCUUCGCUCUUUCUAUCCAUUCGCACAGUUUCUCGCUGAGGUGUUUAGCGUAUAAUUUACUUAUUAUAUUCAGGAGGCUUAUAGGUCUAUAGUUGGAGGGAUCGUCCCUCGAGCCUUUUUUGUAAAUGGGAAUAAUGAUGGAAGUCCCCCAGUCGUAUGGGAUCUGUGCAGUUCUAUCUAUAUAUGUGAACAGAGAGGCUAGCAAGGGGGCCCACCAGUUCGCAUUGGUUUUAAAUAGUUCCGCUGGUAUACAGUCAAUUCCGGGGCUUUCCCGUUCUUUAGUUGGUCAAUCAGCAGAUGGGUCUCUGUUAAUGAGACUGCUGGCCAUGGCUGUAUCUGAUCAUCCGGUAUGUCUAAUGCAUAGGACUCAUCGCUAGAUUCCUCGUAAAGAUUAUGGAAGUGCGUUUCCCAGGCUUUCAUUGAUAUGCAGCAGGAUAGUUGUGAUAGGCCCCUAUCCGGCUGUACAGCUACGAUUCUCCAGAAUAAUGAUGGGUUACUUGAUUUGGAGGCCUCUAUCAGUUGCUGCCAUAAUAACUUCAUUGCGUAUCUUUUCUUUUGUGUCAGAAGUUUUUUGUAACUUCUUUUGGCUUCAAGCAUCUUUUGUCUGUUAUCCUCUGUUGGAUUAUCCUUAUGGCAGAUGAAGGAGUGGAUCAAUGAUUUCUUGGAGGUUAUACACUCAUGAUCGAACCACUCCCUGGAAGUUUUCCGACGGUGGGGAGACUUGGAAUUCGGUUUUACAACAAACUCUUGAAUUUUUUGUAUAAGCAUUUCAUAUGUUGUCAUCAUGUUCGGGGCGCUCUCCUCUAUUUCUAAGCACCCUUCCAUAAUUGCUUUUGAGAGACGGUAGCUCUCCUCAGUUUUAUACCAGUUAGAUAUCCGCUCGCUCACUUGUCCGUUCCAUCUGAUUUUCUUGAGGCCUGUUCCGGGUGUUAGAUCUGGUUGAUAUCUGUGUUGUGGUUUGGGCAGAUCAAAGGGUAAAUCACACACGAGGGAUAAAGGUAGAUGAUCACUUUCAGCUCUUGCUGUAAUGGUGAAUUUUGAUAUCCUAGGGAUCAGGUCCUGGGAAACAAUGCAAUAAUCUAUCGUUGACAGUUUGUGUCCUGACCAAUAUGUGUAUUGACCAGGAUAAUCUCCUUGUAUAGCCCCAUUCAGUAAGUGUAGAUUCUGUCUGUAGGCCAUGUGUGCUAAAUGUAGUCCUCCAAUGUUGCAUGUCUUAUCGUAGGAUGAUCUUAUCAUUAGGGGUGGGAUAGUUUCCAUUUCUGGAGGCCAUUGGUGAAAAUGUGCAUAUAGGGCGUUGUCGUUAGGGCCCACUCUUGCGUUUAGGUCACCAGCUAGUAAUAUCAUGGCUGACGGGUGUUGUCUCCUCCAUUGCACCACGUGGGCUUCCACUUCUUUCCAUAGUUGUUCUACUUGUGCCUGCCGACGACAUGUAGGUAAGUAUAAGUUUAUGCAUAGCAGUUUGCUUUGUCCGAAAUCUAAAACUGCUGCUACAGACCAUUCAUCAUUGGAGGGUAAUUGGAUAAUAUUAGCUUGUAUCUGCGUUGAGAACAGUAAGGCUAAGCCUCCUUUGGGUCUGCCCCUCUUUGACUAGGUGUUGCUCUUUUAAUACACGAGUGGUAAUUAUCCAGGUAGAGCUCGUCUAUCGACCAGGUUUCCUGGAUGAACAGGAUGUCAAAUUUAGUGAGGAAGUCCAUUAGAUUGGGAUCUUUGCUUUUAGCUCCCCACCCUGCGAUGUUCCACGUACAGGUGGUCAGCUUGUGAUUUUUGGUUGUCAGACAUCUCAAGGGACAAUCAAACUUAGGUUUAUAGCCAAUUUGGGAUUUAUCAUUCAUUAUGUCCGUUUUGGGGUGUGUAGUGGGGCAUUUUGGCACGGUGUGAUCUUGGACACAUUUUAGUGUCCCGGAGGAGCGUUCUUUCCCCGUGACCUUAUUUCAGUCCGUGUGAAUGGUGUCUAGGACUCCUAGGUUGUCCACAAAGAUUGAACCAUUCUUGCCUGGUAGUACCGCUAUUUCAGCUUGAUGUGUUAUUGUUUUCUUUGUUAUAGGUGGUUCCGUAGGUCCGAGUUCCUCUGGCGAUAGGAAUAGCCUUAGUAUCCACUCACUGUUGGAUAGAGGUUUUGUGGUAUAGGUUGCAUAGUUAAAUUCCCUGGUGACGGGUGUGGCUAGGAGUGUAAUAGAUUUCCUUAUGGAUGCUAAUCUUUCAAUUAGUGCGUCCUGAGCUUUAUGUAUUUGUUCAAUAGUUGCUAUGAAGCGGUUUUCCUUCUCUAUGUUGGAGCUUUCAUCUGGUACGUGAUUUGGGGAUAGGGUUUUUGGUCUUUUAGCCAGCUGGUUUGGGGCUUUGUCUGCCUCUAGUUGAAGCAUCUUACAGUUCUCGUCCGUCAUAGACAUUGUCGGCUUUGUUUUUAUCUUAUCAGUCUUGAUUGUUUCGAUGAGAGGAGUGGGAGUACCGGACACUUCGAAUAGGCGAGUCACCUGCAAUCCAACCCUUUGUAGCUUGUCCUUAUUGUCUGAAACUAGUUUGGUUGUGUGCCAGUCUCUGAAUGUUACCACAACUCUGUUUAGGUCCUUGUCUGAUGGCAGAAAUUUAACAUUAAUGAUGUUUUCUGCUGGGACGAACCCUCUAACGGCUAAUUCAGUUUUCUUGAGAAUAUAAAUUCUCUGUUGUGCUGGAGAAAGGAGAUCUUUGUGCAUGUAUACAGGUAGGAUGAUGAGUUUUUGUUUGUUUAGAAUUAGAUUUCUGCGAGAGUAUGUUGUUUUAGGAGUAGUUUCUUGCUUAGGGAUCGGGUUUUCUCUUGAUUUUCCCGCGGUUCCAUUCGGGAGCGCUAGUUGCUCUGUUGAAUUAUGAAGCCUAGCCUUAUGGAGUUCCUCUGUUGAAUUGAAAAGCCCAGCCUUAUGGAGGUUUUUAUUUGGGCUUGGGCUUCGGCUUUUAUCAAGGGGUGGCAGGACUGGGUUAGCUGGGUUCGUUGGAUUUGAAUUUUCUAAUAGCUUAAAUAGUCUUGUGAGGUUCAUUUUCUUUGUUCGAGAUGGGAGCUUUGUCUUCCUUCCCAUUUUUACGUUCUUGGGCUUCUUCUCUUUAUUCCUGGGGCACUCCCCUUUAAGAGGGGUUUCUUAGGGUCAAUUAAGUUUCCCUUCUGGUUUGCUUUGAUCCUAGAUGUUUUCCUUUUUUCCACAUUAUGUCGGGUUUUAUUUUCCUUACUGGUGUUAUCGUUUGGUGUGCUAGAGAGAAUUUUAUAUGAAUGCAAGUUGUCUAUUCUCCUAGUUAUUUCAGUCAAAGUGGUAAGUAGGCCCAAGCAUUCUGAGAGGAAGUCUUUGAUGUGUCCCAGUUCUCUGCCUAUCUGCAACUUCUGUUCAUUUAACAGAUCAUUAUAUAGCCCUGUUAGUAUGUAGGGGAGGCAUUCCAAGUCCAGAUAUUGGGCUCUUGUGUCCUCCAGGUCCCCAUUCGUCACAAUGUGAAACCCCAUCUUCUCCCCGGGCCCUGGUCCCUGGGAGGGCUCAUCUGUCUUAAUUACUGGGUUUUCCUCUUGUGACUCUUGUUCCUGCUCCAGCCCCGGUUGAUUCACUGAGGUUUCAUCUUCUAUGGCAACUUGUUUUAUUUCCAUUGCCAAAUUGACUCCCACCCCUUCUUCGUCUGUUUCCAUUAGCCCCCCGUACCUGGUGCGGUCUAUGGACCAUUCGUGGGGGUGUCGUUUGUCAGCAUUAUUUAUUUUGUCUGUUUUCGGUUUAAAAUAUUGUGAGAUUUUCACCUGCCUUCCUCUUGUAGAGGGUUCAGCCGCUUUGAUGAGGGGAAUUCCCAGCUCUUUAUAGCUCUGUCUUGUAAACACCAUUCUCUAGGUUGAAAGCUUCCCUUAUUGGGCACUUUAUUGUAGAAAUAAAGGUAGAGGUAAAGUUUGGAAAACCGGUGUCCAGGCUGUUGGAUCAGGGAGCCUCCCUACCUUUCCCUCUUUAAGCCUUAACUUGGGGCGGGAGGGUAUUCAUGGGGGAGUUCUUGGACUUAUCUUAUCGAGGUUAGGCUCAAUGGAGUUCAGCGGUUUCCUCUGCUUCUUUGGUUGUAUUUCAAGCCAAUCCGUCGUCCGGGAGCUCCAAGGUUGUAAGUCAGUGUAGCAGUAUCAGUAAACAGUGCGACGAUAAAACAAUAAAACAAUAAAAGAAUAAAAGAAUAAACUAAUUAAAACGAGGCGACAAGACAGACAGCCAACAGUCUUUAAGGUCCUUAAGGUGCAGUUUUGGGGUCUUGAAGAGGCUAAAACUAAUAAAAACACUUAGUUGAAAUCGGAGGCUCUAAUUAGGCUGCUACCUCCGUCGCCAUCUUGGCCUCCCUCCGUCCCACUGAUCAUGACGAGACUAGAUUGCUGCUGUGCGGUCCUGUUUUUUAAAUAAAUGUUUUUCUUUUCAGAUAAUACAGAGCAUAGUGAAAUCACAAUAAAUAAAACCUCCCCUUUUCUUUUUAUGCUUUGCCUUUGUUGUUGUUUAGUCGUUUAGUCGUGUCCGACUCUUCGUGACCCCAUGGACCAGAGCAUGCCAGGCACUCCUGUCCUCCACUGCCUCCUGCAGCUUGGUCAAAUUCAUGCUGGUUGUCUCGAGAACACUGUCCAACCAUCUCGUCCUCUGUCGUCUCCUUCUCCUUGUGCCCUCAAUCUUUCCCAACAUCUUCUCCAGGUAGUCUUCUCUUCUCAUAAGGUGGCCAAAGUAUUGGAGCCUCAGCUUCACGAUCUGUCCUUCCAGUGAGCACUCAGGGCUGAUUUCCUUCAGAAUGGAUAGGUUUGAUCUUCUUGCAGUCCAUGGGACUCUCAAGAGUCUCCUCCAGCACCAUAAUUCAAAAGCAUCAAUUCUUUGGCGAUCAGCCUUCUUUAUGGUCCAGCUCUCACUUCCAUACAUCACUACUGGGAAAACCAUAGCUUUAACUAUACGGACCUUUGUUGGCAAGGUGAUGUCUCUGCUUUUUAAGAUGCUGUCUAGGUUUUUCAUUGCUUUUCUCCCAAGAAGCAGGCGUCUUUUAAUUUUGUGGCUGCUGUCACCAUCUGCAGUGAUCAUGGAGCCCAAGAAAGUAAAAUCUCUCACUGCCUCCAUUUCUUCCCCUUCUAUUUGCCAGGAGGUGAUGGGACCAGUGGCCAUGUUCUUCGUUUUUUUGAUGUUGAGCUUCAAACCAUAUUUUGUGCUCUCCUCUUUCACUCUCAUGAAAAGGUUCUUUAAUUCCUCCUCACUUUCUGCCAUCAAGGUUGUGUCAUCUGCAUAUCUGAGGUUGUUGAUAUUUCUUCCCAUGAUCUUAAUUCCGGCUUGGGAUUCAUCCAGCCCAGCCUUUCAUGUGUGUAGUCCUUCAUUAAUGUACUCAAACCUGGUUUGUUGCGGGAGUUAAUUGCCUCCUUUGUUCGGUUCUCUUCAGUGUUUGCAAAGUCACAUUCCAUUGCUUUGAGAUCAUUCCUUCUGCUGUUCACCAUCUUGUGGCUAUAGCUAUAAAAUACUCCAGACAAGAUAUCCAAUCUCUGGGGUUCUUCCUCAGCACUCAGUUACAAAAAACAAAGCCUUUUCACAAAUGCAAGCUCUUGCCAGCUUUAAUUAGCAGACAUUCUUCUUCUUACUUUGAAUUGCUCCCUCACAUUCCUGGUCUAGUCCAAAUAUAAUUUUAAUAAAGUCCAUUCAACCUCGGUCAAAGGGGAGGGCAUAAUAAAAUAUUGUUAAAUCCUUUGUUGAGGAUAAAUCAAAUGCCUCCCCCUCUCUUUUCCUCAGUGCCAAACAGAAUAACAUAGCUACGACUACACAUGCCUCAUUCAUUUUGUGGGUGGGGGGGGUCCAAGAAAGAAAAAGACUAUUUGGAAACCAUAAGCAGACAGUGUCUUGUCCUCCCGCUUCCUUCCUGGCUGUUGUAAGGGGUUUCAAGCUUCUUAAAAAUCAUUCAAAUACCUUCAAUGACCAAAGCCAGUCCUUUCGGCAACUGAUUGAUUGCACCCCGUUAUCAUGCGCCGUUUCAGGAGCACCUCAUAAUUAACGCCAAUAUUCUGAAUGAGUGAGGAACCGACCACAAAUCAUGCCAGAGACAGAGGUUUGUCCAUGGCAGGGACACAUUUUCUGCACCCAUUCUGCCUUUCAAGUUGGUAGAUACGGGCUUAAGCGACACCGCAGGAUGCAGUGAACUCCCCUAAACCCACUGAGGAGUAUUGCCAGGAAAUUUACCUAAUAAAUCCUGGUUUUCCCCUGCCUGAAUAACUCCACUGCCCCGGAGGGCAGUAGAGCUCAACCACCAUAAAUCAUGACGUCAGCCGGAAACCUGCUACCAACAUGCUUCUAUGCCUGUCAAGUAAGCCUCUACACUUGACUGAAUCUUUAUGGCGUCCAUGAGUAUUUAUUCCUACUGUGUGUACCUCAACCCCAAGGAAGGAGCUGCGUUGAGAUGUAACUCUGCUGAGUACGGAUACUAGCACACACAUGAAGCGAAAGUGAUGACGGACCCAGUCCUUCUAAAUCACCCAUCAGAGGUUGAUGGAUUGAUCCAACAGUGAAAUGAACUUAAGACUGGAAAAAUGAGAAAGUAGGGGAAACUGAAGUUGACAGAUUAGUCCACCCAUAGUUGUGGGGAGGAGGAGCAGGCACCUGAAGUUAUUUGGCAGAGCGAGACUUCUGCUAUCCAUUAUUGUAGGCACAGAAGGCUUAAUGGAAAAAGCAAGUUACUUUAGUAAACCCAGAGAUGACAAUGGGAAAACAAGGAAUGCUGAAGUUCAGUAGCUUUUAUUCAUCUUUUCCUCCCACCGUUCGCUCAACUCUGGCCUCUUUAAAGUACUUUGUGUAACAAUUCUGGAAGCCAGCUGUUCUGUGCAGAGUCAAACUUCAGAAAGCAUUUUCCAUCAUUGUGGGAUGGCUUCGUGGAGCAGAAUAAAGGGAAGCAAGUUUGGACUACUUCCUUUUGGCAUGCUCUGCAGCACCAUUUUUCUUUCCCCUCCUGGCUGGAUUUGUGAAACACUGUUUAUUGUCAUUUGUCUCCCAGCCCUUAUCUGGGAGGAUGAUUUAAACUUGGUGGACCACAAAACCCUUGCUCAUAGUGCCCCUGCCCCUGGUGAUCCUCAUUCUAGCUGCUUGAUUGCAGCAGCUGUUGGCAAGGGGGUAUGUGUGUUAGCAUUUUUUGUUGGUGCAGGAAGGAAAACACUUGGAUUUUCCACAGCUCAUCGUAUGUGUCAAGCUUUUGAUCUGUUUUUGAGUCGUAGCUUCAGGUGGCAUUUAAAUCAAGGUCUUAAUCUAAUGAAUUAAGUAGAAGGAGUAGAAUCAAGACAAAUAUGUCUUCCUUCCUUUAAUACCUUUGUUGAGCCACAAACAAAAUUAUAUCUGCCAAUGGAGAACACCGCUGCAGCAAGCAUGCCACAUGAGAAAAGAACUCCUGAAAAACCAGUGAAAAACUGUUUCUUCAGUCUUUAGAAAGAACCUGAACCAAGUCCACAAGAUUAACAUUGGCCUUUCUCCCAUUCGUAAAAUGCACUUACUUUAAAGAUACCUUGCAACAGAGAACUCGUCACAACUUAUAAUUGACACUACCGCUUAAAUUAUAGAUUUAACCAUGGAUACGUGAGAAUGAAAGCUUCAGCUUUAAUUUAAUCUCCUAGCUUCCAGUUACCCACAACUGCACCACAAACCACAUACCUGAGAGCGCAACAAUUCCAGUGGCGUUGGCAGAGGACGAGAAAAGGGGACUGAAGCUAUGGCGCUGGUGAAAAAUGUGGAACGUGUACUGUGGCUGAGCAAUUUCUCCCUCUUUUGUUUCUGAAAUGCCUUUUCUACCAUAGGUAGUGAUUCAUUCACUCUUUCCCGCCCAUAUCCGGAGGAAGGGGUUGGGUCUGCUUUUGGCUGGCAUUCAAGGAAUGUUGCUCCAGCCAUUAAUGAAUUUUUUAAAAAAUUCAUAUGAUGUGUCGAGAAUUUUCUUUAUGGGUGUACUGGUAAAGAAUCUGCUGAGCAAUUAUGUACUCAUCAUGUAUAAGUUUUGUCAUUUGUAUUGAUGUAAAUCUCUGGAAUGUAUUUUGUAUAGCUAACUAUUUAGUUCUAUCCCCAGUAUAUUUUAUCUUACUGCUAUGACUAGUGGCUAAUGCAAAUGUACUUUCCACCUGUCUAUGUACUGAUUAGAUUUACUCUUGGAUGCAAGAAAGACAGUCCAAAAUAUUCUCAAUUAGGACACUAUCCCCGUAUUGCAGAUAGUACCCCCAAGGCCUCUUGGCUCAUAAUUGGCAAUGCAAAAUUUGGAGAAGUGCAACUUUCAAAGCAUGGGCUUUGUUUCAGUUCACGUAUUGUUUUGGAAGGUGCAGAUUAGGUUAUAAAUGCAAACUGAAUCAGAAUACUUACCUAUCUCAACUCAUAAUAGCAAGCUAUGCUGACAUAAAUGGAAGGCACACAGAAGUGAUGCUUGGAAGUUGUUCUCUCUAGUUUUGGGUAACACUGGAUCAAGGAGGCUGCCCUUCCAAAUGAAUAUUGUCAUCAGGAGGCUGGUAGUAAGGAAUAUAUUCUGUGAGAAAAUCUACCAGAACAGAGCUUCGGAGAUUUUUUUAGCAGCAAUGCCUAAAGUAGCCACACUGUGGUGCCCAAAGCAAAGGAAAUCCUGGGAUCUUCGUAAAUCCAGAAGUGAAAACCUGCAACUCUCUAAGACUUGGAUACAGAAUAGAGCUGUGUCCUGGCCAGUUUAAAACUGUAUUGCCAUUUCCCCUGCUAGGUGGCCUUUUGGGUAGGUGCUCAGUUCCAGUGCUAAGAAGUGGGCUGUGUACAUGUGUACAUGUGCACAUUACAAAUGCCUGAUGUGUGUCCCCCACUGCACCCCUGGACUAGAUGACCCUUAGAGUCCCUUCCAGCUCUAAAAUUCUAUGAUUUGUUAAGACAAAGCAUGGUAUCCUUCUAAGCUGCCUUGCAGGGAUCAGGAUGGUGGGUACUAUACAUAAGUGGACUCGGUUGUGCUUCAUGGGCAGGUUCCAGAAGAUACUGCAAGAGGAUUGUUGUGCUUCUCUAUACAAUCAUACCUCAGGUUACAGAUGCUUCGGGUUGCGCACCGCGCCAAACCUGGAAGUACUGGAACGGGUUACUUCCAGGUUUCGGCGCUUGCGCAUGCGCAGAAGUGCCAAAUCGCAACCCGCGCAUGUGCAGAUGUGGCGCUGCAGGUUGCAGACGUGCUUCCCGCACUGAUCACGUUCACAACCUGAGCGUCCACUGUAGUCUGUAGUUUAUGAUGUGUGGUACCACAGGGUCUCAACCCAUACUUUUUAACAUCUAUCUGAAAUCUCUAGGUGAAUUGGAUUGGAUUUGGAAUGAAAUUUUGUCUCUCACUUUCAUCAGAUACCAGGAGCUCUGUAAAGGUUCUGUGUGAAAGGGAGGGAGAGUGGGAGUGAGUGUGCUAAGCUUCACUUCCGCCAUAAUUCCUGGUGCCCUUCAACUCAUGAAUGAUGAAGGCAUGAAGUGCAGAGCUUCCUGUAUGCAUGGAGGCUCACUGUGCGAUUUGUAAACUUGAUUAUGCAGGGUGUGAGUAGAGGAAAAUCCUUGUUUCGCAUCUUCAUUCCCCAUGAUUUGUUGGUUUUUGUGUGGUGGAGCUGUGUGUGCUAAUCCCUCCUUCCCCUAUUUGCAUGUAGGUUUUAUUAUUGGAAUGCUGGCAUAGAGCUAGUAAGGCAGAAGACACCUUGAACUGUUAUCAUGAAUGGCGAGGGACAGAAUGCAGGCAAGGAAGACAACAACUAAUUCAGCUAAAAUUGAAGUAAUGAGUUUUUGGGAGGGAUAACAAAGGAUUAAGCAUACAGCCUGGAUUGGGUAGGGCUGAACUCCCUCUUUAGAUACCGGGUGUGCAAUUUUGGGUGCUUCGUCUGUCAUUACCUACAGUCGCUUAGGUGGCAGCUAUGGCUAAAGCUAUGUCCACACUCCCAUUUACUGUGCACUCAUUGAAUUUCCAGUGAUGGGUUUAUAAUCCAUGUUUAUAUGAGGUAAUCCAAAAUGCAUAGGAAUCCCAUAUUUUUCUCUAAAAUUGUACUGUUCGAUGCAUUGUUUCUUAAAAUAGCUUCACAUCAACCAGAGUCCUUAAGUCAUUUCAAAUUCACACCUCCCCUGCCCCCCAUAGCUGUUCACAUCAGCAGGUGUUCACUAGUGUCAGAUUUGUUUCGGUUUAUGUACACACCAAGGGGGCACUGAUGGGGUGGGGAUGUCUUUACCAUAUGCAAAGGCGUUCUCACGUUGGAUAGAGAUAAAUUAGAAAUAUCUGGUGUCCUUUCAUCUCAUAGGCAAUGAAGAUGAGCCCACUUCUAAUAGAAGAAGAUCAGUAUUCUACUGAUCAUUUUCUCUGUUGUAUGUGGAAGACCCUUGCUUUUAUACAGCCGCCUGAAAAGUGAUGCUUUGGGAGUCAAGAUACUGAAAGGUAUUACUCAGGAUAACAAAAGAAGCUGGGUGCUUCAGUAACAGCAAUGCCACAAAAGGUGGAAUGAAAUUUCUAAGGGAUGUAGUGAGCACUUAGGUGCCUGAAGAGAAUAAUAAGGCAGCAAUUCAAAAGUGAGGAAGGGACCGAGCAGCAGGUACCCCACCAAAUCUGUAGCCCCAUCAGCUGCUCUUGGCCAGGGCAGAAGGUUUGUAGGCAGUUAAUUCUUAUUAUUUGCUGCACCAGCUCUCAACUAGCAUAGCAGAGGGGUCUGGAAUGGGCCCCUCACCAGGAAAUGAACUGGCAUUAGAUCUGGCAGAUCCAUUGCUGAGCCUGCUCCAGCCUUGUGCUUGCUGGCUGCUACUGGCGGGAAUGCUGCCAUGGUAGUGUGUACCCUGUUGCACUUUCAGUAGGUGUAGUGGAAGGCUCCAUGGAGCUGGAUUCUCCCUUCUCCUCACGACCAGCAGUUAAGAUUCCUCUGCCUGGAAGCAAUCAUGAGCACAUUUAACCAUGAAAUAAUUCCUGCUGAACACUUUUAACACUUGCUUUGGAGCAAACAUGCAUAGGGUUGAGCCAGAAGACGACUACCCAUGUCUAGAUUUCUAGCAGUACUACUCCUCUCUUAUGGAAUCAUGUAGUCAAGACACCAGCCUACUUGGCCUUACCGGCUUUCCACUGCAUUAAAUUCUGUGGGUCAUUCUUUCUUAACCCUGCAGUGUCAUCCUUGCCCAGUGAGCAUCUGAGUAGUCCCAGUUUCCCAGAAGAGAUUGCUGUGGUCUUGCCCCCAUUUUUCAAGCAAAGUCAGGCCUGAUUAGCCACAAAAAUAGACAUGUGCAUCACCUUAUGUACAUAUUAUAUUUUUUAUUAUUAAAACCAAAAUCUUUGAAAAUGUUCAACAAAAUAUUAUACAAAUUGCUGUUUGAUCAUAAUAUUUGUGAAAGUGAAGCUAUGCAUUGCUGCUUCAACAGAAUGGCUUUACUUACCAUGAAAUUUUGUUAAUUUUCUGAUGUGCUUAAAAGCUAUGGAAGGAAAAAGCUGUAACACCACUGCACUCUUAUGGAUCACAUUUCUUAUGUCAACAAGUUAGAGAUGGUUUUUGUUUGUUUGUUUGUUUGUAGCAUGACAAACUUUCAGGGAUGCCAUUAAUCUGUCAUUCCAACUGAACAUUUAGUAAAUCACCUGUGAAAUCUUACAAUCAGCAUUAUUCAGGGUUACUCAUGGGAUUGCAAUGAGUAACAGGAAAACUUAACAUCAACAGUAGCAGAUACAUUGAUUUAUUUUUAUUUUUUGCAUCAUCACCAUUGUACUUUCUGGUUUUUUAAUGAACUGCUGCCUUAAAUGCAUAUAAACAACAUUUGGAAAAAGGUACUUCUGACACAAUUGUAAUGACUCCUAGCUAUUGGUCAGACAAACAUUUUGGACAUUGCUGAAACAACUACAGUUAUGAGCAGAUUUGUACAGUGGAGAACAUUGACAUUUUAAAACUUAGAAACCUAGCCCAAGAACUACAUUCUACAUAAUGCUGGUAAAAUUCAGGAUGAUGCAAAACCAAUUUAUCACAGUAUUUUCUCUUAUUAUCAAGUCAUUGCCAUGAAUAUUGCAAUUAUGAAAAGUGAUCAGGCUAUUGAGCUCCAGAAUGUUUGCAAAGAUUGGGAUGAUCCAGACCAAGUUAAGCUUUUUUAAAGCACUUUUGAACAUGGAGUUCAGUAAUAGUUUUAAGCCGAUGCCUGGCUUUUUCUCCUCUGGUGUACUGCAUACCUUUGGCUGAUUUGCACUCAUUCCCAUGAGCCCAUUUCCUGAUAAUAAAUGGCAUUACCACGAAUGAUACUUUUUUCUGUUUUCUUUACUUAAUAGUCAGGCUGCAUGCUCUAUUCACAGGUUCAGUCCAUGGAUGAGACCUUCUUCAACACAAUAAAAGGGUUCAGAUGAAAAACAAGCCAACAAACAAGACUGGAUUAUUAAGGACCCUGGCAUCAUCACAGUUAGGUGAUAGUAACAAGGGAGAGAAUGGCUUCAGUCUCUUUUUACAGUAUACCUUAAAAUAAAAUAAAAAGUAAAAAUGCAACAUGGUAAGUUCCUGCUACCAUGGCCACUAGUAACCUUAAUUGCAGAUGGGAGACAUUUACUCCAUUUGAACCAUAAAUUUCGUCCCACAAAAGUCUACUGGAGUCACUGAGUUUUUAUCACUGAUGUCAAGAGGAGCAGGAGCAGAACCACUGUGCUAUUGGGUGGCCAUGCCACAUGUAACCUCUAUCCAUGGCAGCUCCCUUUGACUUGCAAGAGCUUCCUUGUGGCAUAACACGUUGAACAAGCUAACAAAAUUGAGCAAAUUAACUUAAUUGGCAAAAUACUGUAUUUUGCGUUGGGCUGGGUUAGUUUUUAGCCAGGAGAAACACUGUGGUAGUGCUAAUAGACUGAUCACUGCAGGUAAGGGAAAGGAAAGGACACCACAGCCUCAUUCCUAGUGCUUGUGUCAAAGUUCAACAUUGUCGUCAUUUUUGCUGGAUACACACAUUAACUUGCAUUUUAUAGCAUUAGUUCCAGUGCAUGAAAAAGCAUAUGCACUAAGGACUGCAAUCCUGUGCGUACUCACCCCGGAGAAUGUCCCACUGAACACAAUGGGACUUAAUUCUGAGCAGGGUCUGCUUACCCAUAGGUGCUAGGGGUGAGGGGCACUUGGGCGCCGGGCUCUCAGGGGUGCCAGGCCUAGAGUCCGUGGCUGAGAUUGGGAGUCCGGGAUUGAAAAGCCAGGCCAGCCAACAGCCGCUGCUGAGCGGUGCAUAGCCCGUCAGAGUGCCACAGGCUUUUCUGCUGUGGGCACUGAGGCAGCUGGCCGGCUCUGCCUUCCUGGGUGCCUGGGAUUGGUGGGCCGUCGAGAGGCCCACCCAACGUAUGUACGCUGCUCACACAAGGUGCGCAGCUUCCCUCCCAAGCGUCUGUGGGGAUUGCUUUCCUCCCACAGCAGCAUGGGAGAGUUGCGUGCCACCCAAAAAGCUCAACAACUUUGGCCUGCCCCCCCCCCCAGGUUUUUGCAUCCCGGCGCCACAUUUGCUAAAGAUGGCCCUGAUUCUGAGGAAACAUGCAUAGCAUUGUGCUCCAAGUAGCCUAAUAAUGUCAUGCGCUCUCACAAACCUUAGUCUACUUUAUCAAAUGCUUAAAGUGGACUCAGAAGGUGGUAAGCACAAUUAACACAAGUUUUAAUUUACAUUGUGUGUGUGUGUGGUGGGUGUAGACUUAGCUGAACUACUAUUGUUUACAGAUCUAGACUUAUUUUAUCAUUCAAUCAGUAUAAUUUUCAAAUUUGGGGGAUUGCAGUACCACUAAUUUGGGUGGUAGGUGAGGAUCCAUGGAGGGAGGUGCUGAAGUAGGUAGAGUCAGUCUCCCAGAAGCAGUUUUAAGAGGAAAACUAAGAUGUCCUCUUAGUUCUUUUAAAAAUGUCACAGUUGAAUUAGUGCCUCAAUCCUCAGACUUUUACACACAAAGAGAGAGAGAGAGCUGUGCAAGCUGGUGCUGUGCAUUUAUUGGCUUGUGAAAUGGCUGCCAACUAGCUGGGGUGCUUCAUAGGUACAGUAAGUUUAGAAGUAGGUCUUGGGGCAAAAGUAGAUUUAUAAUAAUAAUAAUAAUAAAUUUUUAUUUAUAUCCUGCCCUCCCCAGCCGAAGCUGGGCUCAGGCCGGCUAACAACAAUCAAAAUAAUCCAACAUUCUAAAAACAUUCAUUAUAAAAUUAAUUAAAAUCAAAUUGAUGGCAACUAUUAAGCAAAAUUCUGUGCAGAUUGCCAGAGGAGGGGGUCAGGCUGCGCCCUGACCAAAGGCCUGGUGGAACAGCUCUGUCUUGCAGGCCCUGCGGAAAGAUGUCAGGUCCCGCAGGGCCCUAGUCUCUUGUGACAGAGCGUUCCACCAGAUUGGAGCCGCGGCCGAGAAAGCCCUGGCUCUAGUUGAGGCCAGCCUAACCUCUCUGUGGCCUGGGAUCUUCAGGAUGUUUUUAUUUGAAGACCGUAAGUUUCUCUGUGGGGCAUACCAGGAGAGGCGGUCCCGUAGGUACGAGGGUCCUAGGCUGUAUAGGGCUUUAAAGGUUAAAACCAGCACCUUAAACCUGAUCCUGUACUCCACCGGGAGCCAGUGCAGCUGGUAUAGUACCAGAUGAAUAUGAUCUCGCAGCGAAGACCCCAUAAGGAGUCUCGCCGCGGCAUUCUGCACCCGCUGGAGUUUCUGGGUCAGUCUCAAGGGCAGCCCCACGUAGAGCGAGUUACAAUAAUCCAGUCUGGAGGUGACCGUCACGUGGAUCACAGUGGCUAGGUCAGGGCGAGAGAGAUAAGGAGCCAACUGCUUAGCUUGGCGGAGAUGAAAAAAUGCCGCCUUUGUUAUAGCUGUAAUCUGUGCCUCCAUAGAGAGGGAGGUGUCGAAGAUUACACCCAAACUCUUAAUGGACGAUGCUGGCACUAAUUGCACCCCCGCAAGAGAUGGGAGUUGCCCCCUCAAUCCCAUAUCGCCCCGUCCCAGCCAGAGGACCUCUGUCUUCGAAGGAUUUAACUUCAACCGACUCCCACGUAAGCAUCCAGCCACAGCUUCCAGACAUCUGGUCAGUGUGUCUGGGGCCGAGUCAGGAUGGCCAUCCAUCAACAGAUAGAGUUGGGUGUCAUCAGCAUACUGAUGGCAACCCAGCCCAACACUCCGGACAAGCUGGGUGAGGGGGCGCAUAAAGAUGUUAAAAAGCAUCGAGGAGAGAAUCGCACCCUGGGGCACUCCACACACCAAGGAGUGGUGGGAUGACAAUUCCCCCCCAAGCGCCACCCUCUGUCCCCGACCAGAGAGAAACGAGCGCAGCCAUUGAAGGACUGUGCCCUGGAUCCCCACGUCGGCAUCUACCAUGGUCCUAAGGAAAGCCCUUUUUCUGAAGCUGAAAUUGGCUUUGCGAGAAAAUCCCCCAUUCAAAACAUUUGAAGAAAACCUGCUAUAAAAAGAUGUUAUGUGAUAUUUUGGUAAUUCGUACACCCCAUUUUAGAAUAGGGAACUAGGGAACUGGACUAGAGAAGGGAUGGAAACGUGGGUCUCCAGAUACUGUUGGAUUCCAACUUCUAUCAGUCCUGGCCAGGAUGGCUAACAGUCAGGAAUUAUGGGAGCUGCAGUCCAACAACAUCUGGGAUGACCACAUGGUCUCCAUCCUGGGAGACGAGGCUCAGGAGAUUUACUUUAUCCUGCAACAAUAAUAAAUAAUAAUUAAAGCAGAAGUUGAGUUUUCCCCAUAUUCCAAACCUACAGUCUCUUCCACAUCAUAAAAUGGAAAACACUAUGAGUCACUCCCAACUAGUGGAGAGUAGGCAAAUCAGUCAGUGUUUCAUGCAUAGUUCUUUUUUAAAAAUGAAAAAAAAGUUUAGUUGACAAGGAAGAUAAAGCAAGGGGACUGGUUGCCAGGAUUUUAGCUUGUAAAAAAGGCCCUGUCCUUUUUGAGGGGAACCAGCACCACAUUGCACAGAAAGCUCCCCAUUGAACUAGGGAUGCUACAGGCCUCUGUACAUACUGCACAUUUACAGGGAUCAGGGUUUGGAAUACAAACCACUGGAUCUUUUAAGGAAUGGGGAGCAAGGACUGAAAAGCAACAGAGGCUUAAGAAGGAACAAUCAGGUAAUGGAGAGUCAGUGGAGGCUGGGUAUUCCAAACCAGUUUUUCAAGGUUUAAAGGACAGUAUCUUAUUGUGAACAAACCUGUCACAUCACAAAUCCAGUUACACUAGCUAUAUUGAUUUCUAUAUAAGUUUAGGCGUUACAGUUAAUGUGAUUUAUAAAAUAUAAAACUAUGGGUGUCAUGUUUAAAAUAUAUUUGAUUGCCAACAACAUGUAAUCUGUUUGUAAAAAAUAUCUGUAACACUUUCCUGGAAAUCUGAUGGUCAGUGUGUGUGCAGUGUAACCCAAUACAUUCCUGCCCUUCCUUAUUUCUUCUGUCCACAGCCAGUAAUUUGUCUAGGCUACAAACUUUCCUAGGCCUUGCGGCAAAUCAGGACACAUGGAACUUGCAGGCAGCCAAACAAGGUCCUGGCACUAAUCUCUAAAUUUACUAAUUUAGUAAUUAUUUAAAACAUGCAUCUUAUUUUUCU
rnacentral:lncRNA from 1 species